AACGAGGCCGACCUGCGGCUGAGUUACCUGCGGAAGGAUCAUUACUGAGUGAGCGCUCUCGGGCGCGACCUCCAACCCUUUGUAAUCCGACCAUGUUGCCUCGGGGGCGACCCGGCCUUCGGGCGUCGGGGCCCCCGGCGGACCAAUAACUCUGCAUCUUUGCGUCUGAGUAUGAUAUUGAAUCAAUCAAAACUUUUAACAACGGAUCU
rnacentral:misc_RNA from 1 species